rnacentral:lncRNA from 1 species
GCCAGGGUUAGCUGUUGUUACAGAAGCCUCCUAGGUCUCUCUCUCCGUGAGUCAUCAGUCAUCAACACCAAGGCAAAAGUCGUUUUCUUGCCCAUUACAGUCGGCAGGAGCACAGAACACACACAUCCACAUAAUCUCUAGUGUCCCCAUGUGCCACGGACCUCAUCUCCAGUAGCAGCACAGACCACAGACAUCAACACAGACUUCUGCUGCAGUAGGAACAUGGACCCAGACAUGGUCCUCAGGAGCAGUGCAGACCCAGAUAUCACCACGGCCUCAGAUGGCUGCACAGAGCACUCUGAUCAAUCGAUAUGGCCCCUGGCAGCAGCAUAGCCCACAGACAACCCAUGGCUGCAGGUAUCCUGUUCUAAAUCUCUUAUUGCAUCAUUUACUUUCCGUGGGUGGGGAUGUAUUAUGCUCAUGCACUAUUGGGUCACAUAUGCCAUGGCACACAAGUGGAGAUCAGAGAACAAUUUGUGGGGGUCAGUUCUCCUCCUACCAUGUGGGUGUAGGGAUGGAAUUCAUGUGCUUAGGCUUGGCACCAAGUGCCUACACCCACUGAGCCAUCUAAUAACCCCUCCCCUAGUGUCUUAUUUGCUAUAAAUACCUAACAUGUAGAGGACAAAAAAAAAAAAUAUGUAGGCCGUUUUCACACUCUGCUCUUCACGUUAUAAUUUUAACUUAAAAUGUUUAAGUAUGCAGCGCUUCCAUAGGCCGUUCUGUCUUAUCUUUAUUAUGUAAACCUAGCAGUACAUCUGGAAAGCCUCUGCUUCUCCUUGAAGAUUAAACCCAAACAUUCCCUUCUCUUGAAAACCUCCAUCAGAUCUUCCAGGAAUUUACAGUAACUAGAUUAACCAGCAAAGACUUUAAAUGGUAUAACUAGGCAGUGGGAGAGAGAUGAGUAAGACCUAUUGAGAUGAUCAUAUGGUUUUUGUCUUUAAGUCCAAUUAUAUAGCUUAUUACAUUUACUGCUUUACAUAUUAUUCUUUUUCCUUUCAUUUCUGCUCUGAUUUUUUUUUCCUAUCUGCUGGAUUUGAGUUUGGUUUGUUCCUGUUUUUCCCAAUUCUUGAGAUGCAUUAAGCCAUUGAUUUGUGGUCUUUCUGAUUUUUUAGUGUAGGUUCUUAGAGCUGUAAAUUUUUUUCUCUCUUAGGAUCACUCAUAACGUGUCCCAGGGGUUCUGCAUGGUACAUUUCCAUUUAACUCCAGGAUUGAAAUAAAUAAAAAUUCUUUCUG